rnacentral:rRNA from 1 species
UGGGGAAUAUUGGACAAUGGGCGCAAGCCUGAUCCAGCCAUGCCGCGUGGGUGAAGAAGGCCUUCGGGUUGUAAAGUCCUUUUGUUGGGAAAGAAAUCCUGUCGGCUAAUACCCGGCGGGGAUGACGGUACCCAAAGAAUAAGCACCGGCUAACUUCGUGCCAGCAGCCGCGGUAAUACGAAGGGUGCAAGCGUUACUCGGAAUUACUGGGCGUAAAGCGUGCGUAGGCGGUUCGUUAAGUCUGUCGUGAAAGCCCUGGGCGCAACCUGGGAAUUGCGAUGGAUACUGGCGAGCUAGAGUACGGUAGAGGAUGGUGGAAUUCCCGGUGUAGCGGUGAAAUGCGUAGAGAUCGGGAGGAACACCUGUGUCGAAGGCGGCCAUCUGGACCAGUACUGACGCUGAGGCACGAAAGCGUGGGGAGCAAACA